rnacentral:pre_miRNA from 1 species
AGGAGAAUCACCUAGGGAUCUCAUUAAAAUGUAGACUCGUCCAGAAGGAGAGCCCGAGAGUCUACCUUUCUAACGAGUUCCCAGGUGAUGCCGUA